UUUUUUUUUCCUUUUUUUCUGUUUUCCAUUCAACUUUUACAAGAAUCGGGAACUCAUACAGGCAGAACCAAGCAACAAAAACUUUGAAAUUACAAGAUAUAUAAAUAUAUGAUACAAAAUAUAGUAUGAUUGGGUAAAACAAUCUCUACUGAGUUGAACAGUUACAUGCAACAACCACCUUAUUAGCUAGCUAUAACCAUCUCUGAAAGCAUCACUUAGAAAGAAUGAAUCUAGUUCCACAAAUAAAUCAGAGAGAGAGAGAGAAGCUGAGCUCUUGCAUUCCUGAAUAUGUUUCUGAAACAUAAGCAAACUAAUUGGCAGGCCCGUUCCGGAGAUUUCAGGGGCCCUAGGCGAAAUGGGAAAAAAAUGAUUGUGUGCUUAUGAACCGUUUUUUUUAAAUGAAAUAAGAUUGGAGCCUUUGAACUUAUAUGUAUUUUUUACUGAUUGGGGCCCAAUGUGUGACUAAAAAAAUCUUAAUUCUAUAUAGCAAUAAAAAUAAAAAUAAAAAAUCGGGGCCCCAUUUUGCCCUGGGCCCUAGGCGGUUGCACCCCUCGCCUAUGCCCAGGGCCGGCCCUGCUAAUUGGCAACAAAAAUAAAACAAAUUACUCAAAUUGGCCGGAACUCAAAACUGACUCUAUUCUUGACCUUAAAACAAUGUUUUCUGGACAUAGGAUUUGUUUGGGAAAAGAUAAUUCUGGAAAUUAAUGAGCUAUUAUCAGAUUAGGACUUUUGUAUGACACAAUUGUUAUCGAAAACUUUUUUCUGCUGAACAAACAACUAACUCGAUUUAAAUCAAAAUCAAAAUCAGCCUAAUCCUUCAACCUGAACUAAAACAUAAAAUUGCAGCACAUUACCUUGUACGAGAAGACCAGCCGGUGUUCUCAUUAUGUCGUGUGUCUUCAGCAUCGGGCAUAUAGUCAUCAUCCAUGUUGGCCAAGUCAUCGUCAUCAACAUUUGGAAACUCUGAAAGUAGUACAAGGAGAUAUAAGCCAAGCCUAUGUAAGCAUAAAAAGCAGUGCAAUCAAAUAUGAGAUGCUCAGAUAAAAUCAGGGGUCCCAAUGGCCUGGCUCAGUUAAGAAUGUAUUUAACCUCAAUGCCCUGUAUAAUGUGUUCAACAAAUGAAAAAUAAUUCCAAAUUUAUGCUAAUUUUUGCUCUUCGAUAAUGCUCCUUGGAAGAUAUAAUAUAAACAUUGAAUUGGAGGCUACUCUUCCUUCAACUAUCUGCCUUCUUAAUUUGAUCAGCUAGAUUAUCAACAGCAGUAAUUCAAAACUCUAAAGCUGGGAAAAGCUAAUCUGAAUAAUUUCUACAAAGAGCAGUUUCUAAGUAAAUCUCUAACCUGGAGUUGAAUGAGCAGCAUAUCAGGAACGCUUCACACGAACUUGAAAGUGACCCUUUCCAGAAUCCCGUAUCUUUUCUGCCGAGUGUAAAAGACUCAUGGACCGCUCAUCGACCUCAAUC
rnacentral:lncRNA from 1 species